rnacentral:lncRNA from 1 species
AUCCUUGAGGACGGCGGUCUGGAGGAACUCGCCGAGGGAGAAGCGAGUGCCGGCGACUGAGGCGGCGGCGACGGAAGGCCAGCGGCGGUGGUGGUGGUGGCGGUGGAAGGUGUGAAACUGGUGGUGGUCGGAAGGGGUGUUGAGAUCUAAGGAGAGGCAUGUUGAUGGUGGGGAGGCGGCAACGGCGGCGGAGAAGGCAAAGGCGGCGGCGUUGGAGGUGGAGGGGAAGUUGGUUUUGGCCUUGGAGCCGCGGAGGGAGCGGGCGGCGCCGUCGUAGGCCAAGGC